AUACGGAGGAUGCGAGCGUUAUCCGGAUUUAUUGGGUUUAAAGGGUGCGCAGGCGGCGCGUUAAGUCAGCGGUGAAAUGCCCCGGCUCAACCGGGGAGCUGCCGUUGAUACUGGCGUGCUGGAGUGCGAACGGCGCCGGCGGAAUGUGCAAUGUAGCGGUGAAAUGCAUAGAUAUUGCACAGAACACCGAUCGCGAAGGCAGCUGGCGAGGACGCAACUGACGCUGAGGCACGAAGGCGUGGGGAUCGAACAGGAUUAGAUACCCUGGUAGUCCACGCAGUAAACGAUGAUGACUUGUUGUCGGCGAUAGAAUGUCGGUGACAAAGCGAAAGCGAUAAGUCAUCCACCUGGGGAGUACGAUCGCAAGGUUGAAACUCAAAGGAAUUGACGGGG
rnacentral:rRNA from 1 species